GUUUCCUGAUGUCCUUUUAGGCUUCAGUGAGUUUCUUCAGGUUGUUACUGAGGGAUUUCCUUUCUCCUCUCUGUUGGAGCUUUUCCUGUGUUUGGAGAAAUGAGUUGUGCUGCAGCAGCACCAACUGUCCUUCCUACAUCCACUGCAGUUUGCAAUCCAGAUGUUGGACUGUUCCUGUCUCAGUGGAGGACAAUGUGUGUCUGAGAGACAUGUAAUGUCCAUGUUUGCUGCUGAAAGAGACUGAUGGUCUGACCCCCCUCCUCCUUUCAGGGUGGAGCCUGCUGGAGGCCGAUUCUUGACUCCAGGUCCAUGGAGACUAAAGAUAUAUUCCUGUCAACUCACCAUCGACACAAACACAGUGAACAGAGAGCUCAAACUGUCUGAAGACAACAGGAAGGUGACAUGUGAAGCGCGUCAGUCAUAUCCUGAUCAUCCAGACAGAUUUGAUUUCUGGAAUCAGCUGCUGUGUAGAAACUGGUCUGACUGGUCGCUGUUACUGGGAGGUCGAGUGGAGAGGAAAAUUUAUAUAUCAGUGAGUUACAGAAGAAUAAGGAGGAAAGGAAACAGUACAGACUGUGUGUUUGGAUGUAAUUAUCAUUCCUGGAGUCUGAGAUGCUCUGAUCGUUAUGGUUUCUCUGUCUGGCACAAUAACAUAGAAACUCGUCUCUCCUCCUCCUCUGUCUCUAACAGAGUAGCAGUGUAUGUGGACUGUCCUGCUGGCAUUCUGUCCUUCUACAGAGUCUCCUCUGACUCACUGAUCCCCUCCACACCUUCAACACCACAUUCACUGAACCUCUGAUUCCUGGAUUUGGAGUCUGUUAUUUUGGUUCUUCAGUGUUUCUGAGCUGAUUUGAGUCUAAGGAAUCUAAAGUUUUUCAUCCUGCUAGAAAAUCUCACUGAUUAAAAGAUAGUUCAGUCUCUUUAUGUCUGUUUCAUUCAGAAAUAUAUUUUUAUGGAUCCAAUCUGUGUCUUGGUUAAACUUUUCUACACAACCCUGGGAUUAUUCCAGGAAUAUUCCAGGAUUAUUCCAGGAUUAUUCCAGGAUUAUAACUGGAUCAACAUGUUUUAUCUUUUUCCAGUCAAAAAUUCACAAUGAAUCUCAGGAUGUUUUUUUUUUCUCUCUUGAUUUUUUUCCCUUUCAUUUAUCAUCAGAUUCUUUGAAUUUACUGCAGUUUUUCUCAAUUACUGAAUAUUUUUUGUUUCUGUUAUCUCCUAUAUUUUUAAAUUCAUCUUGGAUUCAAAUGUUAUUUUUUGUAUAUUUACUGCAGUUGUACUUCAUGUGUUUUAUUGAACAAUAAACAUAUUUUAUUCA